AGUUUUAGUGGCAAUUAUUUAGCGGCGAUUAUCAAACGGCCACUAUUAUUAUUAUUUUAUUACACUUUUAGCGGCAAUUAUUUUCAAAUGUAUAAUUUUAACCUACUAAUAUUUAUAUAUUAAAUAUAAUUCUAACCCAACCUCCACCUAACCCAACCUAUCCGAACCCAACCUGGGUUGACCUCAACCCGCACUCUCUCUCCCCCCUCUUAUCUCGAUCCAAGCUCCCCCUCGCUCCCCCCUCCUUCUCCUCCUCCCCCUCCCUCUCCCCCCUCCUCUCUCGAUCCAAGCUGUGUCGGCUCUCUAUCGGCAGCGGUGGCGGCGUCGUCGUCUCCAGCGGAAGAGCUCUCGGCGGCGGCGAAGGAGUGGCUGAGAAAGCUCUCGGCGACGGCAUCUAGGGUUCCGGCGGAGCCGCGACGACCGCGCCGUGUGGCUCGCCGAGAAUCCCCUCUAGCACGCCUAGCUCUCCCUCGACGUCACCGAUCUCUACAUCAAGUCCCUAUUCUUCCCUCGACGUCACCGAUCUUUCACUGCUUUUUACAUCUACAAUCGAUUCUUCUUGAGAUCUGGAUCUGUUUUAUGUGAAUACUAGAGUAGGGAGGAUUAGACCAACACACUGUGAGUUGUUUGACUCCCUAAUUUGACUCGGUUGAUAAAGAAAGUCUUGUCUUAUAGAACAUGAGUAUCUCAAACGAAUUUGACCUAGGCUGCCUAAUCAACAGUUCAUGAUUAAUCAAUUCGAUGUUGGAGUCGACAUGGCUUGUUUGUCAUACUUGGAAGUGCCUUACGUUAUGAUUAGUCAAUACCAUGGACAAAGAGGGCUGUUAUUGCUAUAAUGCUUAGUUGAUUCUAUUGGUGGCAGACUUUCUUACAUGCCAAUUAUUGUUAAUUCGUCGGUUUUUACAGUACCACCUCCC
rnacentral:lncRNA from 1 species